CGCCAACACUGGGACUGAGAACUGCCCAGACUCCUACGGGAGGCUGCAGUCGAGAAUCAUUCGCAAUGGGCGAAAGCCUGACGAUGCGACGCCGUGUGAGCGAUGAAGGCCUUAGGGUCGUAAAGCUCUUUCGCUUGGGAGCAAGAGAAGUUGGCUAAUAACCAGCUAAUUUGAGAGUACCAGGUAAAGAAGCACCGGCUAACUCCA
rnacentral:rRNA from 1 species